GACGUAGGGUGCGAGCGUUGUCCGGAUUUAUUGGGCGUAAAGAGCUCGUAGGCGGCUCGUCGCGUCGACCGUGAAAACCCGCAGCUUAACUGCGGGCUUGCGGUUGAUACGGGCGGGCUAGAGUUCGGUAGGGGAGACUGGGAAUUCCUGGUGUAGCGGUGAAAUGCGUAGAUAUCAAGAGGAACACCUGAGGUGAAGACGGGUUGCUGGGCCGACACUGACGCCGACAGCGCGAAAGCCAGGGGAGCAAACGGG
rnacentral:rRNA from 1 species